CAGGCAGAGGAAAUAGACACAAAAUGCUGGAGUAACUCAGCGGGACAGGCAGCAUCUCUGGAUUGAAGGAAUGGGUGACGUUUUGGGUGGAGUCCCUUCCUCAGGGGAGAGGCAGUCUAGAGAUAUGGAAAG